GCCCCAGCUCAGAAAUGACUGGGAUGACUGAAAUUCCUUUUGUGUGAGCUCCCAUACCUGCAAAAUCGAAAUUGGGGUGGGUGGUGGGAAGCAGAAAUCUAUUGUGAAAUGUGGGAUGCAAAAACAAAAGAUUUCAAUGAACACUCAUUUAAAUAAAAAAUUGGAGUAACACCUUGCCUUUUUCACAGGUUGCUCGUGGGUGUACCUGGACCUUUUCUGAAGUGAGCAAGGACCUUUUCACUCUAGUCUGGAGAAAGAAGAUUCUACAAUUACCUGCCACUCAACACCUGCUGCUCCAGACAGCAGCAGCACUUGCUUGAGCACAACUUCCUGUGAGGAAGACCAGGACUCUCAACUGAACAGCCAACUGAUAAUGUUUCCUAGGCGCCCG
rnacentral:lncRNA from 1 species